rnacentral:rRNA from 1 species
CUUACCUACCCUUGACAUGUCUAGAAGUUACCAGAGAUGGUUUCGUGCUCGAAAGAGAACUAGAACACAGGUGCUGCAUGGCCGUCGUCAGCUCGUGUCGUGAGAUGUUGGGUUAAGUCCCGCAACGAGCGCAACCCUUGUCAUUAGUUGCUACGUAAGGGCACUCUAAUGAGACUGCCGGUGACAAACCGGAGGAAGGUGGGGAUGACGUCAGGUCAUCAUGGCCCUUAUGGGUAGGGCUACACACGUCAUACAAUGGCCGGUACAGAGGGCUGCCAACCCGCGAGAGGGAGCCAAUCCCAGACAACCGGUCGUAGUCCGGAUCGCAGUCUGCAACUCGACUGCGUGAAGUCGGAAUCGCUAGUAAUCGCGGAUCAGCUUGCCGCGGUGAAUACGUUCCCGGGUCUUGUACACACCGCCCGUCACACCAUGGGAGCGGGUUCUGCCAGAAGUAGUUAGCCUAACCGCAAGGGGUGCGAUUACCACGGCAGGGUUCGUGACUGGGGU